rnacentral:rRNA from 1 species
UGGGGAAUUUUGGACAAUGGGGGAAACCCUGAUCCAGCCAUCCCGCGUGUGCGAUGAAGGCCUUCGGGUUGUAAAGCACUUUUGGCAGGAAAGAAACGUCGCGGGUUAAUACCCCGCGGAACUGACGGUACCUGCAGAAUAAGCACCGGCUAACUACGUAGCCAGCAGCCGCGGUAAUACGUAGGGUGCAAGCGUUAAUCGGAAUUACUGGGCGUAAAGCGUGCGCAAGCGGUUCGGAAAGAAAGAUGUGAAAUCCCAGAGCUUAACUUUGGAACUGCAUUUUUAACUACCGGGCUAGAGUGUGUCAGAGGGAGGUGGAAUCCGCGUGUAGCAGUGAAAUGCGUAGAUAUGCGGAGGAACACCGAUGGCGAAGGCAGCCUCCUGGGAUAACACUGACGCUCAUGCACGAAAGCGUGGGGAGCAAACAGGAUUAGAUACCCUGGUAGUCCACGCCCUAAACGAUGUCAACUAGCUGUUGGGGUCUUCGGACCUUUGGUAGCGCUAGGCUAACGCGUGAAGUUGACCGCCUGGGGGAGUACGGUC